CAGUCGCCGCGGGAAUACGUAGGGUGCAAGCGUUAAUCGGAAUUACUGGGCGUAAAGCGAGCGCAGACGGUUACUUAAGCAGGAUGUGAAAUCCCCGGGCUUAACCUGGGAACUGCGUUCUGAACUGGGUAGCUAGAGUAUGUCAGAGGGGGGUAGAAUUCCACGUGUAGCAGUGAAAUGCGUAGAGAUGUGGAGGAAUACCGAUGGCGAAGGCAGCCCCCUGGGAUAAUACUGACGUUCAUGCUCGAAAGCGUGGGCAGCAAACAGGAUUAGAUACCCCGGUAGUCCCUGUCUUUUAUAC
rnacentral:rRNA from 1 species